rnacentral:pre_miRNA from 1 species
UCAGACUAUAUCAGUGCUACUCAGUCAGACUAUAUCAGUGCUACUCUUUCAGAUUUUAAGUAGCACUGAUAUAGUCUGACUGAGUAGCACUGAUAUAGUCUGAC